CCCAACUCAAUACUCUCAAUUUCUCACUAUCGCACUCUCUGCCUCUCUUCUCAGAUUCGCAUUAAUAGUACUCCACUCCCUUUUCCCUCACUUUGCCCUGGUUCUUGGUCUUGCAUCGUCGAUGGUGGCUUUUGGUGCUAUUCCAAUCGUAGACCCAGUCCUCUCAACACGUCUCUGUCUGCUCAAGCUCAACAAUCGAUGUUGUCUGCCCUUAAUCUCGGCUUUAGAUUGUGACAUUAGAGGCUGAAUUUAUCACAAGGUUAGGAUCUAUCACAAGGCAUGUUUGCUUCAUUACAUUGAACAUAAUUUUCUCCAAUUCCUAAAUAUUUCAGGGGAUCUUUAGAUGAAUACAAUGAUGCAAACAUUCAACUUGCCUUGCCUGUUGUGAGAAAG